UACGUAGGGACCGAGCGUUGUCCGGAAUCAUUGGGCGUAAAGAGCGUGUAGGCGGCCAAUUAAGUCCUGCGUGAAAUCUCGGGGCCCAACCCCGAGCGGUCGUGGGAAACUGGUUGGCUAGAGUGCGGGAGAGGAGAGUGGAAUUCCUGGUGUAGCGGUGAAAUGCGCAGAUAUCAGGAAGAACACCCCGUGGCGAAGGCGGCUCUCUGGAACGCAACUGACGCUGAGACGCGAAAGCGUGGGGAGCAAACAGG
rnacentral:rRNA from 1 species